GCCGGUUUGGCUCAGUGGAUAAGAGCGUUGGCCUGCGAACCGAAGGGCCCCGGGUUCAAUUCCAGUAAAGGGCA
rnacentral:tRNA from 1 species